rfam:Brassica napus, WGS project CCCW01000000 data, contig: 12182
ACCAAUUCUGAGGGAUAAGACAAUUCCUUCAGGUAUAAUGGCUUGUGACGCAAUAUCAAUUUGUGGUAUAUCCUGAUCAUCUUGCUCUUUUCACUGCUUUUUGAUCCUGGAAAUGCCUCGUAUAUUA